GACGAGGGGUCCAAGCGUUGUUCGGAAUCAUUGGGCGUAAAGCGGGUGUAGGCGGCUCUAUAAGUCAGAAGUGAAAGCCCCGGGCUCAACCCGGGAAGUGCUUUUGAUACUGCAGAGCUUGAAUGUGGGAGAGGGUAGUGGAAUUCCAGGUGUAGUGGUGAAAUACGUAGAUAUCUGGAGGAACAUCAGUGGCGAAGGCGGCUGCCUGGCCCAAUACUGACACUCAGGUGCGACAGCGUGGGGAGCAAACAGG
rnacentral:rRNA from 1 species